UACAUGGCAAGAGAGUAUGUUUUCAAUA
rnacentral:piRNA from 1 species